rnacentral:rRNA from 1 species
CCUACGGGAGGCAGCAGUGAGGAAUAUUGGUCAAUGGACGCAAGUCUGAACCAGCCAUGCCGCGUGCAGGAAGACGGCUCUAUGAGUUGUAAACUGCUUUUGUACGAGGGUAAACGCAGAUACGCGUAUCUGUCUGAAAGUAUCGUACGAAUAAGGAUCGGCUAACUCCGUGCCAGCAGCCGCGGUAAUACGGAGGAUUCAAGCGUUAUCCGGAUUUAUUGGGUUUAAAGGGUGCGUAGGCGGUCGGAUAAGUUAGCGGUGAAAUCCCGGGGCUCAACUCCGGAAUUGCCUCUGAUACUGUUCGGCUAGAGAGUAGUUGCGGUAGGCGGAAUGUAUGGUGUAGCGGUGAAAUGCUUAGAGAUCAUACAGAACACCGAUUGCGAAGGCAGCUUACCAAGCUACUUCUGACGUUGAGGCACGAAAGCGUGGGUAUCGAACAGGAUUAGAUACCCGGGUAGUC